rnacentral:rRNA from 1 species
GUGCAGCCGCCGCGGUAAUACCGGCAGCCCGAGUGAUGGCCGAUAUUAUUGGGCCUAAAGCGUCCGUAGCUGGCUGCGCAAGUCCGUCGGGAAAUCCACGUGCUUAACACGUGGGCGACCGGCGGAAACUGUUCGGCUUGGGGCCGGAGGACUCGAGGGGUACGUCCGGGGUAGGAGUGAAAUCCUGUAAUCCUGGACGGACCGCCGGUGGCGAAAGCGCCUCGGGAAGACGGACCCGACAGUGAGGGACGAAAGCUGGGAUCUCGAACCAGAUUAGAAACCCCAGUAGUCC